rnacentral:ncRNA from 1 species
GAGAGCACAGCACAAUGAAAGUUGUGAGCUGUGUUUUGGGGGGAUUUAUUUUCUAUCGUUGGCCUCUAUGGUAGAAUCAGUUGAGGAGGCCUCAAAGAUGGUGGCUUACCCUAU